rnacentral:rRNA from 1 species
UUCAGAGGAACCUGUCCUAUAAUUGAUAAUCCACGAUUUAAAUAACUUAUUUUAUUAAUUUGCAUAUCGUCGUAGAUUGAAUAUUUUUUUAGAAUAUUAAUAUUCAAGAUUUUUAAAGAAAAAUUAAAUCAGAUCAAGGUGUAGUUUAUAAAUAAGUAGAGAUGGGUUACAAUAAAUAUAUUUAAACGAAUAAUUAGUUUAAAACUGAUUUGAAGGAGGAUUUGAAAGUAAUUUUAAUUAAUUUAUUAAGAUGAUUUUAGCUCUAAAAUAUGUACAUAUCGCCCGUCAUUUUCACUAUAAAGUGAAACAAGUCGUAACAUAGUAGGUGUACUGGAAAGUGUACCUAGAGUGUCAAAUUAGAGCUUGAUAUAAAGCAUUUUAGUUACAUUAAAAAGUUUACUGUGAAAUUCAGUAUGAUUUGAAUAUAAAAUAUUAUUAAAUUUAAAUUUUGUUAAAAAUUUUAAGAAAAAAAUUUUUUGUUUGAUUAAUUCUAAGAAAAAAUUAAUUUAAUUAUAGAUGAUUAGUAUUGUGAAAGAAAUAUCUAAAAUUUUUUAAAGAAUAAAUUAUUUUUAAAAAACAUGGCUUUUUGAAUAUAAUUUAAGGUCUAACCUGCCCAAUGAAGUUUUAAAUGGCCGCGGUAUUUUGACCGUGCAAAGGUAGCAUAAUCAUUUGUUUUUUAAUUGAAAGCUGGAAUGAAGGGUUGGAUGAGAAAAUAACUGUCUCUAUUUAAUUGUUUUAGAACUUUAUUUUUAAGUUAAAAAGCUUAAAUAUUUUUUGAAGACGAGAAGACCCUAUAGAGUUUAAUAGUUAUUAAGGUUUUAAAAAAUAGAAUUUUUUUUAUGAAAGUUUAAGUAAUUAUUUGAUUGGGGUGAUUAAAAAAUUAAAGAAACUUUUUUUGUAUUUUUACAUUAAUUUAUGAAACUAUGAUCCUUAUUAAAGAUUAAAAGAUUAAAUUACCUUAGGGAUAACAGCGUAAUUUUUUUUUAGAGUUCAAAUCGAAAGAAAAGAUUGCGACCUCGAUGUUGGAUUAAAAUUAAUUUUUGGCGUAGUAGUUAAAUAAUUAGGGUCUGUUCGACCUUUAGAAUUUUACUUGAUCUGAGUUCAAACCGGUGUGAGCCAGGUUGGUUUCUAUCUCAAAUUAGUUAAUAUUUUUUAGUACGAAAGGACCUAAAAAUAUUGUUAAUAACUUUUUUUAUGAAUACUAUUAGUUAUUUUGGCAGAUUAGUGSCAAUAGAUUUAGAAUCUUUAUCAUCGUAAAUUUUACAAAUAAUACUUGAUUUUAAAAGAUUUUAUAAUAAUAAUAGCUUUCUAUAUUGAUUUUAGCUUUUUGUGUGAUAAUUGGGGUUGCUUUUUUAACAUUAUUAGAGCGUAAGGUUUUAGGAUAUAUUCAAAUUC